UACGAAGGGUGCAAGCGUUACUCGGAAUUACUGGGCGUAAGCGUGCGUAGGUGGUUUGUUAAGUCUGAUGUGAAAGCCCUGGGCUCAACCUGGGAAUUGCAUUGAAUACUGGCAGGCUAGAGUGCGGUAGAGGGUAGUGGAAUUCCCGGUGUAGCAGUGAAAUGCGUAGAGAUCGGGAGGAACAUCUGUGGCGAAGGCGACUACCUGGACCAGCACUGGACACUGAGGCACGAAAGCGUGGGGAGCAAACAGG
rnacentral:rRNA from 1 species